rnacentral:tRNA from 1 species
GGAGGGCUGGCUGAGUGGUUGAAAGCACCGGUCUUGAAAACCGGCAGGGGUCUACGCCCCUCCAGGGUUCGAAUCCCUGGCCCUCCACCA